AGAGUUUGAUCCUGGCUCAGGACGAACGCUUGCGGCGUGGAUAAGAAAUGCAAGUCGAGCGAGGUUGAGGCUUCGGCCAAAAACCUAGCGGCGAACGGUCGCGUAACACGUAAGCAACCUGCCCCAAAGCGGGGGACAACGGGCCGAAAGGCCCGCUAAUACCGCAUGUGGCCCGCGGAUCGCCUGUUCCGCGGUCUAAAGAUUCCCGGCAACGGGUUUCGCUUGGGGAUGGGCUUGCGGCCUAUCAGCUAGUCGGCGGGGUGACGGCCCACCGAGGCUUUGACGGGUAGCUGGUCUGAGAGGACGGUCAGCCGGAUUGGGACUGAGAUACGGCCCAGACUCCUACGGGGGGCAGCAAUUAGGAAUCUUGCGCAAUGGGGGCAACCCUGACGCAGCGACGCCGCGUGCGGGACGAAGGCAUUCGUGUCGUAAACCGCUUUUGGGGGGGAAGAAAGGCCUUCGGGCUAUGACGGUACCCCCCGAAUAAGCCCCGGCUAACUACGUGCCAGCAGCCGCGGUAAUAC
rnacentral:rRNA from 1 species